GCGCUCUGUCUGCGUCGUGGCAAUUCCGAGUGGAGGGCGGCCGCCCCAGAGCGCGCAGAGCUGCAAGACCCACAGGGGGUGGAGUCUCCAGGAACAACCAUACCUGGCCCACAGGUUUAUUUCGAGUGUUUUCUGAACACAAAGAUGCAGCAACAUUUUGGAAGAGGAGGGUGUCGUUUCCUUUUCCACAGCAGUCAAGCUGAAGGCAACCAGGAGCAGAAGCAAGACGUCACUCAAUCUGUUUUCAAAUAAACCUCUUUUUCUGUGAUGAAAAAAAGGAUUUGGCUUUGACGUACUGCAUUGUGGAAAACGUUGAGGACUUUGGAGGCCGAGUCUUUACUGGAGGUGUCUGACACAUCCAUAGCCUUGAUGUAAGCGGCGUCGUAAAAAUUGAUGAGUUCUUUGGAAACCUGCGGAUGAUAGGUGACACGCUGGCGUUUACUGGAACAGAGGCGAAAACGUCAAUGAUAAGCGAUGAGUGUGUGUGUGUGUGUGUGUUUUCAUUUACGCACAGUGUCUUUGUUCAUGAAACCCCAGAGAGCUGCGGCCACUUCACAGGCAAAGAGGAUCACCAAAAAGAAGAAGAACUGUCGAAAAAGAAUCCAUCAAAAACGUACAAAACAUUGUGGGAAAAUAGGAAUUUGUGCCGCCGUCAGAUUUUGAAGUGCUCACCGUUCCCAGUAGACACUGAGAUUCCUGAAUGGCACCGUAACAUCCAAGGAAUCCCACCAGCAUCAUCACAGCUCCAACUGCUAUCAGGAUGUACACACCUGUACUCAAAAAAAAAAAAGCAACACUUUGUCAUUGACACCACCAGGGGGCAGCAAAGUCAGGAAUAGAUCCUUCUGUCUCCUCUCCACACAAUGUUUAGUAAUGGGCUUCCUGCAUGUUCUCCCUGCUUUUUCUGUGAGGUGACAUGACAUUAUUGACAUCCUGGAGAUAAACGGCUCCCAGAUCCUGACUCAGAGAGAGACCGCUCAGAGCAGCCCGCCACGAGAGGAAAUGCCUUUCCCACAAUCCUUCAUCUCUCCUGACCAUUGACCCCGAGCGCUUCCCAGGAAACAGAAGGAGGCAUUUAAAAAAAAAAAAAAAAAAA